UACGGAGGGGGCUAGCGUUGUCCGAAGUUACUGGGCGUAAAGCGCGCGUAGGCGGGUUGGUAAGUCCGCUGUGAAAGCCCGGAGCUCAACUCCGGAGGGUCGGUGGAUACUGCCAGUCUUGAAGGUGCUAGGGGGAGAUGGAAUUACCGGUGUAGCGGUGAAAUGCGUAGAUAUUGGGAGGAACACCAGUGGCGAAGGCGGCUACCUGGACCGGUUCUGACGCUGAGGCGCGAAAGCGUGGGUAGCAAACAGG
rnacentral:rRNA from 1 species